AUAUCAUCAACCUCCGAUUUGCUCCUGUGAGUCGGCAGGCUUGGACAUUGGGGGUUCUCUGGCGGCCUCUCCGAGGUCGGCUCCCCUGGAAUGCAUUAGCUGGACGCGAUCCCUGGUCCCUUGCGCGGAGCUCGGCCUUCCACGGUGUAGUACGCUAUUCACCGAUGAAGUGCCUCCUCCCGACCGUUUCGAGUCUGCUUCCAACCGUCUUCGGACAAUCUCUUGACA
rnacentral:misc_RNA from 1 species